UACAGAGGUCUCAAGCGUUGUUCGGAUUCAUUGGGCGUAAAGGGUGCGUAGGCGGCGCGGUAAGUCGGGUGUGAAAGCUCGGAGCUCAACUCCGAAAUGGCAUUGGAAACUACCUCGCUCGAGGGUUGGAGGGGGGACUGGAAUGCUUGGUGUAGCAGUGAAAUGCGUAGAUAUCAAGCGGAACACCAGUGGCGAAGGCGAGUCCCUGGACAACUCCUGACACUGAGGCACGAAAGCUAGGGGAGCAAACAGG
rnacentral:rRNA from 1 species